rnacentral:lncRNA from 1 species
GUUUUGUAUUUCGACCAGUGAUCCUGAACUUUGAGCUAGAUAAACUAACUGAAUCAGAGUUUGGAUUAUCUCUCCUGGAAAGGGAACAAGUAUGUUCUAUUUGUGGAAAGAAAUUUGCAUCUAAAUAGUUGGGUAGCUGAGCAAAUAUUGUACCAGAGACUGCUAUCUGUCUACCAAAUUCCAUUCUGUCCUUCCUUUAUGGCAAAUACAGAUUAAGUGCGAUGUGAACAACAUUGCUGGAUACAGUUUCUGCUUCACUUGUUUGAAGAUAAGCAAAAAACAAAGCCUGAGGUUGGAAUGCUCAAUAGUAUGGAAGAAAAGGAGUAGCAGGGUGCCUGGAGGUGGGCAGAAGUGGGCACAGGCCAAGCCAGUCUUGGUGCAGACCCUGAAUUUUGUUUUGCAAGAAACAUCUGAGCCAAGUAAUGCAUUUGCCACUCUUUCCCAUCGUCUUAUGAAGUAUCAGAUUGUUCAUUCACUAAAGAAUGCUCGUGGGUAGGUGUGCCAAAGAACUUGGAGGGAUGCUGUACACAUGGUGUCCUAGGUCUCCUGUGAGGUUUGUUUCCUGGAGGAGUCCAGAAAGAAGCUGUUCUCUGCUGAACCAUGGGUCAAGGAAAAUGUUGACAGAACUAUCAACUCUCAAUUUCCUAAACUUGGCAGGGUUCAAACUUCCAAGACAAAGCUGAUAGUGUCAAGGUAAACAUGAAGGUUUUUAAUAUGGAUACCAAUCUCUAGGAAGGGCAUUAGGAAAUCCCUCAGUUAUCACGGUGAAACCACCAUCACCACUCAGCUAAGGUGCAAGUAGCAAUCAAGUCAUUCCUGAUUAUCUCAACCAGCAAUCAAGACUUUCCCCUGGGAUUGGUCUGACCUCGGAAGACAAUGAGGCAAGUCCCAACAAGGAGGAGCCAUCUGCUCGGACGGCAGGGUAGAGAAUAUGACAUAGACUGGUGCACAAAAGCCAUUUAAGCAGAACACUAGGGAGAGACCUUGAGGUGACUUCCACAGCCCAGUUGCUGUUUCUUUUUUGAGAAAGUGAGCAAUGGCCCGAAGCUAGAAAUGCAAAAUGCAUCCCUCAAUAUAAGUAUUCAUCACACACCUAAAUCUUACAUUUUAUAGUUGUCAGACAUUUUAGCUUUCACAAAGUCUGAGUUUAGAUUUUGAAAGGUUUUUCACAACUUUGAAGUGCAUUUAGUAAAUGUAUAGUCUAAUUUUAUCCAAACUAUUAGCUCCAUACCUACAGAUGGCUUUGAAUGUACCAAAAGAAUUUAUUUUGCUAGAUAUGAGAAGUGGCUGGUUCCUCUGACAUGGCAACCCUGUAGUUGUCACCUCUUGGGGAGUUUCACAGUGAAGUUAGUUGUUAUUAAAAGGAACAUCAGAAUUCAGCUGGAGUCUUGGAAGAAAAUCAAGUUUUGUCUGUUUGUACAAAGAUAAAAGUCAGUGUCAGAUUUCUGAGCUCUUUAGAUUAGAAAGAUGUUUGGACUUGAAAAAUAAAGACCCAAGAGAAGGAGGUGUUCAUAUUAGAGCUGCUAUGCUGUCAUGAGAGGAUCUCUUAGAUCUCUUAUAGCAGGGUCAUUGGGGAGGAAAGAAGAUUAUCAAUGUGACUGUCAUACUGAAGGCAAUUUUUAUCAAGGUCCAAAAGUAAAUUUUCAAUAAAUAAUCUGAUUCUUGCUAAAUGACUCACACGGAGGUGGCUUUGAUUCUCACUCAAGUAAACAAAAAUUCGAGACAGCAUAGGCAAUGCUUGUUGAAUUUACUUGGAUGAAACUGUUUAUUUGAAAUAAAGCACAAAGCUAUUUUCUUUUUGCUGCAUUGUGGGUGCAAUAUCCAUAUCAUGACAUUAAGUAGGAGAGGAAUGGAACUAUGGUAUUGCUGUGGGUCUCUCAGAGUGCGAGAGAGAUACUACAGACAAAAGAAAGUUCUAAACGUUAAAGAAGUAAGUUUUAAUUUUGCUGCUUGAAAUUGUAGUAAUCACUGAUAGGUACUUAAUUUAAAAUUAUUUUUCAGUUGAACAAAAAGGGACUAUGCACAAUAUAUAGCUUAAGAGUAAUAAGUUAGGGGGCCGGGGAUUUAGCUCAGUGGUUCCGGCGCCUGCCUUGCAAGUGCAAGGUCCCGAGUUCAAUCUCCGGUACCCAAAACAAAGAAUAAUAAAUUAGGAAAGUAAGGUAAAAACUUAGAGUUGCCUCUCUCACAGAUAAUAUUUUUAGCUUGAAGACAAUCUGACCAAUGUGAGGUUCUGGGAAGUUAAAAAGAGCUUCCGAAAUGAAAUGUUGCUGAGACAUAUAUUUUAACUUAUAGUUUGCGAGAUUUGUUUUUUCCCCUGAUGAUAAGUGAGGAGAGAGCAACUGGAGAAAAGCAAAGAUAUGUUUCAGUUGAGACUAUGCCAGAACAGUGACUCACAGCGUCCUAAUCAGGCAGGCAUGACAGCUCAUUGAAUAAGGCCCACCCCACCCACCCUGGAAAUUGUUCUUUGCCCAAGCUCAGCACCCUGAAAACGACUUUCUAGACAUGUCACCAUGCUUGCUGUGGAUUGUCAAGGAAACUAUGAAAAUGCUGACCAAGGCAGGGGUUAAGUUAUUAUAUGACCAAGGCUGCCUUUUCAGAUAGGCUCAGCUCUGAGUGUCUGUGUAUUUGCGCACAUGUGCAUGUUUAAUUAAAGAAGCGUUUUUAUGUAUGUCUUUUUGAUUUGCUGUACAUUUUCCUAGCAAUUAAUAUUUAUGCAUAUUUAUAUGACCCACCCAUCUUUUGAUAAAAAUUGCCAUAAUCAUUUCUGUUUAUGUUUUUUUCACAUAUGACUUGUAGGAUUAUAUGGGUUAAAUAAAUUUAUGGCUUAAAGGAACUUUUAAACUCCUCAUCUUGUAGAUGGAAAAUAGAGGCCUUAUCCACCAGGGGUGGCCUUUGGUCAGCCUCAUAUAACAGCCAGGACCAAAAUCCAGUCUCUCUACUUAUGUUAUGAGUUUAAAGAAUUAUUUCAACAGUUAUACAAGAUUGAAUAUGCUUUACAAAUUGUUGUUAAUGAAAACUGCAGAAACACUAAGUAUUUUGGUUUAAAUUCAUGGUUUCACAGCAUGACCAUGCCUUGAAUCAUUUCGGAAAUUAAAAAAAAAAAGAAAAUUUGAAAAAAGAGUUAAAAAAAGAACCAAUACAGAUCUAGUGACUCAGAAUCUGAUAAGGGUGUACCAAAGCAUUAGAAUAUUUAGAAAAUUCUCCUGUUUUUAAUGGAUUUCUAAUGUAGUGUGUAUAGAUCAGUGUUGAGAAAGCAGGCAUAUGUCUAUUUUUCAAGAUGAUUGGAUAGAAAGUAGGCUGAACUAUCCAGCUAAAGUAGCUAAACUAGCUACCUACUGAAGAAAUAAAAUCAUAAGAGUUUAGCUUAGGGAAACUCAACUAGUUUUAAUAUCAAGCUAUUUCUUUCAUGCUCUCUCGUCACUAUUUCAUUAUGGCAGUUGUAAGAGAAACUCAGAACCUCCACUAUUAUUAAAAGGCAAACCUAUUGGCUUUUGCUAUGAACAAAAGGACUGCUAGAAUAUUUUAAAACAGGAACUUAGUGUUUUGAUUGAAUCCUAAAUAAAUACCCAAUAGAUAUUAAUGAAAUCUACUCUGUUAUUUCUUUUCUUUCCUUUUCUUUUUUUUUAAGUAAUUGCAGGAUCUCUGUAUUGGUUGGUGUGAAGAAUAACACAAUAGGGGAGAUAACAGCUUCCUGGGCCCUAUUAUUGAUCAAAUGGCAAAUCUGGCCUCAUGAAAAUCAGGCAAAAUCACAGGCCGUACUUUAUGUGCACAGGUUACAUUUCACAUAAGAUUUUAUUAAUCCUAGUAGUCAAAUCUUUUCUAUGAUCUUCCUAAUUUGUGCCCCUGCUCAUGACUUCAAUGGCCUAUCUAAUCAAGAGACCAAGGAAGAUGUUUCUGACUGUGUCAUUUUUGAUAUCCCAAUUAGGUCCGGAUGCAACAGCUUGGACCUUAGGGACAUCAUUUGUCAUAGGGGACCGCUAGUGUGUUCUCUCCUUAAUGCUCUUUCAGUAUCCUGGGGCAGCAUGUUCCUUCCCCUGGAGAUCCAUUCUCCUUUCCUUUUGUCUUCACAUUUGUAAUAUUUCUCUCAUCAGGCCACAGGAGUGGACACAUGACUCAAGACCAGCAGCACAAAGUCUUCUUAGGAUUAUUUCAAAUGGCAACUAGAAAAAACCAAAACAAAACACUUCCCUUCUCUGUUGAAGGCACAAGACAAUUCAUCAUAGGAGUGAAUUUCAGGCAAAGGAAGGGGGCCCUAAAAGGGCAUAAAAGCUUCCCUGCAAUCUUGGAGUCCUUUUCUAUCGUCCUGUGAUCCCCCUUUCCUACCAUCCUCUGCUUCAGUUCUUUGCUUCUGUGAAGCAAUAGGCUUUUCUUUCCAGUCUCAGUAGUAUGGAUGGGCUUCUGUAACUUGUAACUGAAAUGGCUUUAAUUCAAGAAAACUUCAAAAUGCCCUAGAUUUCACAUGCCAUUUAGGGGAAAUCCAUACUGUUUGCCUUUUUCCCACAAUGGACUUGAAGAGAUGGGAUGGCCGAAGCAACUUUACUGCCAGCUGUUCUCUCAGAAAUUUUUGUUGCUGGAUAUUCUCUGGAAAAAUUGAAAGAGAUAACAAUUGACAACAACAACAAUGAAAGCCUCUUAGAAAAUGUCAGAUUAAGCCCAGAGGAACAGUAAAGACAGCAGAUCUCAAUAGUUGUUGACAUUUGUAUAAUACAAAUACAAAAUUACAACAUUUUGUAUUUAUGGUUUUGUGCAAAUACUUGAAAUGCACACAUCAGUUCUUCAAUAGAAGAAGCAUAAUGUUGUGUUUUCAGUUCAAAAUACCAGUAAAUUUGGAAAAAUCUUCCUGAGUAAGCUAAAUUUAUUUUUAUGUGUUUUAAAGUGCUGAUAGGACCUUAUUUAUAUUUUUCUUCAAUUUACAAAGAUUUUUGUCUUUCGACUAAUUGUAUUAUUUUAUCAAGAACUUUAACUGAUUUGAAAUGAUCAAUUCUUUUUCCCAUUAAGUUUAUUGGUACAUUUUAGGUAUAAAAUACAGUUACAUUCACCAUUGGGAUCUUGUAUCAUUACAUGAGUAUCUUGGUUCUUUUUUUUCCCCCUUCCUCUGCCCUCCCUUCACCCCCUCCACCCUUCUCUAUUUGCAAAGAUUUUGUUUCCAUUUUUUUCCUUUUCUCAUAUUUUUUCUUUUUCCUUCUUUCCUUUCCCCUACCCCUCCCACUUCCCCUGCUCCUUUAGAACUUUACUUCCUAUUACACAAUAUCAAUUAUACAUUUUAAAAAUUAAAAUAUCAAGACCUAGGAGACAUUACCAGAUUUUUCAGAAUUUAAAAGGAUAUAGAAAGCAUAUUGCAAAAAUCUGUUUUGCAAUAAAUUUGACAACUUCUAAGAAGUACCUUAGAAGACAAAUUAAUGAAACUAACUCUGGAGGAAAUAUAAAAUUUGAAAAGCACCUAUUAAAGAAAGUAUAUUCCUAGCUUGAAAACCUACCUAUAUGACAACAACAGGCUCACAUACAUUUUAACUGAUAAAUUAUAUCAAACAUUUAAAGCAGGAAAGCAAAAAGGAACACUUCUCCCCUCAUUUUAGGAAAUUAACAUUGUGCUAAUCCUAAAACUGGGUAAAGAUAAUAGAAGAAAAAAGCAUGAACAUAGAUAAAAAUUUGUUUAACAAAACAAACUAUUAGAAGUCAGAUCUGGCAGUAUGUAGAAAGUGGUUUUAUUAUAGGGAUAGCAGUGUUGGUUCAGCAUUGGAAGAUCCACCCCUAAAGUCAUCUGAAAUGAUCAAUGUUAUUGCCAGAAUUUAUCGCUUUGAUCCUGUGUUAUCUAUAAUAUUAGUUUGGGUUUAUACUUGACCUAAGCAUAUUAAAUAUUUUCUAACUUUCAAGCAACAAUACUAUCCAAGUAUUUCUUUUAUGUUCUGAACAAUUAUAAUUAUGUUUCAUAUAUUUGCAUUAUUUAGCACUUGAUAAAGUUUCACUUUUGACAUUCAUAGUAGUGUUUAGGUAUAUCAUGUUUUUAUUCAUAUUAGCCCAGUUGACAAAGCCUUUUGUAGUUUCGGUCUCCAUACUCAAAUGUUUGAGUCAUAAUCAAAGAACCAUCACAGUUUUAGAAUUUGCUGAAUGUGGUAUUUCUUGCAUCAGAUGAAGACAUGAAUAACACGUUGUAUGGCCACAGGUGAUGCUGACUAUAGGCCAAUUUGUAUUUGUGACCUGCAUGAGAGAAUCGAUAGGCAUGUAUUUGCAUUUCUAAUCACUAAGUACUUAUUGAGAACACACUGGAUGCUAUGCUCAGCAUUUGAUAUAUAAAUUGUGGACGAGUCGACAUGAGUGUAGGGCAUGAAUUAACCAACACAGCAUCAUUAUAAAACACAGGGCCUAAAUUGUACUUCUCCUUCACUUUCAUUAGAAAUUCAAAAAAAGGAAAAAGUAGGCUAGAUUUGUUUAUCUGGAAAAUACAAGUACUGUGUAGUAUCAAAAUGAUAUAGGCAGAAAAAAAGCAAAGAGAUUUCAGCCAUCUGAAGUAGACUCCUCCUAUGUAAUACCUUGAUCAAAUGCUUAAUUUGCCUACAUCUGACCUGACCAAUGGAGUCAAAGAACUCAGUACCUUGUGAGGAGGUCCUUUGUCCCAUCUUAGUUUAAUCAUAAUGUUCUUCAUGUUUAAUUGAGAUUAAUCAGAACAGAAACUUCUGGCCCCUUCUGGCAAUUGGGCCUCUACUGUCUGGAGAGCCUAGGGUGUUCAUUCAAUCUGACACCUGUCAAGAAGAGCCCAGCACCCCUCUUCUCAUCCCAUGUCCUCCACAAAAGGAAUGUUCGUGUCUGUGAGGUUUCCUGGAGUUUGUAAAAACCUGUACAUUGCCCAGGAAAAAGAUGCUCCAACUCUCUUAUCUUUAUUUGGAACAGUCCAUGCUAGAGUUUUUUUGUUUUUUGUUUUUUUAAUGCGAUGGAAGAAAAGAGGAAACAAUGGAUAGAGAUUUUUAACUUGAUACUUUCCCAGGUUCCAGGCCUUCUGGCGGAAGCAGGCCUUGAAGCCUGCGUAUGCGUCACUGGAUUUAAUCCUUCUAGCAACACCGUGAAAUCUGUAUCCUUCUCUGUAUUCCUUAUGAGAAAUUUGAAGCUUGGAGAAAAUAAAUAAAGCUGAACAUUUUCUCUUCACCCAUUGUGGCUUUCUGUUUCCUUCUUUUAAAGAAAGUUCUUUAUGAAGCUAUGCAUUUAGCGUGAUCUUAUACAUUUUUAUCCAAUCUAGUACAUUUUUGGCAGUGAUAGGAGUCAAUGUUUUAAGUAUGUCCUCACAAAACAGACUGUCUGAAUAAAGCUGAACCUCUGGUCACCAUAAUUUAAGGUCAUUCAUAAGCCCCCAGGAAGUCCUGGCUAUAAGCAUUGUAGUUUAAAGACUUGGCUGUAGUCACUGAAGCUUUGGUUUCUCACUUGCAUGGCCUCUGUCUCUAUGUAGAGUAGAUGAAAAGAUCAUUUUACAUCAGCUUCCACUCUGGAUGUUUUCUUAUUUGUAGAAGGGGUGCAUGUGAACCUACGUUCACUUGGGUACUUAGCAAAAUUCCCAACAAAAAUGACUUCUUUAGCUCUCCCAGGACAGUGGUUGAGAAGACAUUCAGUUCCAGAUGGCAGUGUUCCUGCUACUCAGAGGGCAGGCUCCCUUUAUCUGUCAACUGAUUCAGUUUCUCAAGGGCUGAACAGGUUGGGACUGCUCUCCAACCUUUGCCCAUUCCUCUGGAAUUGCUAUGCCUACAGAUCUCGGUAAAACAUAAAAUUAGUGUUUGUAGAAUCCCUCUUGAGAUCCUUGAUGAGAGAUGGGUUGAUACUAUAAAGUAGUAUUAUCAUAAAUAGACCCUGGGAUUAUGUUCUGGGGAUUAUAAACUAUAGUCUCAACAUUUAACACCAUAUGAGAUGAAUGUCAAGCAUCCACUUGCC